rnacentral:misc_RNA from 1 species
GUAUUCUUUACCCGGCGGUUAUUUCUUUCGGGAGGUAGUCGUUGGGUAGAUUUGAGAUAUGAACCCUAGGUUCUGUCUUUAAAUAUAUUGCCGCCGUGAUGGUGACUAAAGUGUUUGAAUAGAACCUUGUUCUUGAUUACGCUGAGGUAGCUGUUUUCGACGGUUCAACCAUAAAGGUUACUACUAGUGAGUAUCCUUGAAC